UACCAGUCGGAAGGUUGUGCAGAUUC
rnacentral:piRNA from 1 species